CUUUCGAUCCCCUCUCCUAAUCGAAUAAGGCCUCCGUGGGUGCGGAGGCAGACGACGUGGCUUCAUGCCUACCAUUCACGCCGACAAAAAUUUUAGGAUGCGAAUAAGGAGAGGUAGCUUUUAAUAGAAGAGAUUCUACGAUGGCACAAAAACGCAGGCGCCGUCGCCGACAUCCGCCCGAUGCGUUGAGAUAUGCGGCAAUGUUCGUUCUCCACUCCAACCCAUAGGGGUUCAACAUUUGUUCAAAAUCCCAACAAGGUCCUAGUGAUCAGAAAACAUCCAAGACGAGGAAAUGCGGUGGAAGAUGUGGGACAGUACCUGUUGGAAGCAAAAUGACGAGCACACGCUCAAUAUGCGGCGAGGGGAGGCAGCCGGGAAGACAAGCGCUGUGAAGGAGGCCGGAACAACAAUUCUAGGCCAUUGCCUAUCCUUGCCUACCCUGCACGUCUACAAAAAUUCUAGGCCACAAGUUAAGUCUGGUAAUCAUACAUGUCAUGUAUGUCAGCUAGGCAAACAUGUUAGGUUUGCCAUUUCCACAUGUUUGCCAUUUCCUCGAUCUACAAACAUUUUGUUGUUUCCUUUUCAAUUAGUUCAUUGUGAUGUAUGAACCUCGCAUGUUGUCAGUAAUUCUGGUUACAAGUUUUAUCUUGUGCUCAUGGAUGAUUUCCCUGAUUUUACCUGGACAUUUCCUUUGGGACAUAAAAAUCUUGACGGUGGCAUGUACAUCAAUUGGAUGUUAAGAACGCAUUCUUGCAUGGUCUUUAUAUGGAUUAAAACAGGCACCACGUGUAUGGUACCAGCGAUUUGCUAGUGAGCUGCUGAAUCUUGGGUUCCGUUCCACACGUUCGGACUCUAGAUCAUGGUGUUGGUGUUCAUAUUAAAGCCUCCAGGACCAAUGAUCUCGCAUAUUCAGAUACGGACAAGGCUGGCUACCCUAUAGAUGACAAGGAUUGCCCAACACAUGACUUCAUCAGCUUCUCCUGUCUCCAAGCUCAUUUGAAGCCAAAGCCAUUUCGCAGCAUGCAACAGUACCCUGAGCAUAAAACCUGAAACAGCAAGUAGCCAUGCUAAAGAGGGCCUAUGCUUUAACAUACCUUAUGCAGUUAUGCUCCAUAUUGUGGGUCUAAGUAUCCAGAAUUACAUUAUGUUUCAUGUUGACAAUGACAAGCAGAUGAUACCACAA